AGUAACCUUUCUAAGAAGGAGGCGGCAGCCAAUAGAACCUUUCUUUCUUUUUUCUUUUUUUUUUUUUCCUCUCCCCACUUCUUACUAGAGAAAUUCGUGUUACCUCAGCAAUUAAGGAGAAGAGCCAGCAUCUAGGGUUCCAGGCUCUGAGGGGGAGUAGCAACUUGUACCAGCAGCAAUACCUGCCAGGACCUUCAGCUGAGCUUGCAGGAGAUGCAGAGAGGCUUCACUGAGUCUUCACAAAGGGAAGAAAUUUCAAAUUAAUAAUUAGGGUGCGUAAAUCUUCUGUCCCUUCUGCAGGGGAAAGGAAACAUUAUCCGUCUGGGUGACCACUAUUCCUUGCAACAUGAAACAACACAGCAACGUCUGUAAUUCAAUGGGAAGUGUUAA
rnacentral:lncRNA from 1 species